AGUUAUUUAUUCUCUCAAUUUUGGCUACUGUUGUAGUUAUGCAAUUGCCCCCUUUGUUUUUCACAAGCUACACAUUUAGGGCGAUCUCUCUUCAGGUGACCCUGGCAUCAAAAUGCUAAUUUAGAUUAUUAAAGCUACAGAUAAUGUUGAUACAAAUGUCCAAGGCUCAAUAGAUAGAAGAACGAAUUGUACUUUUAUAUAGAAUAUGUACUAAACGUUUAACCUUUUUCCAAAGGUGAGCCUACAGAUUGUCUGCAUUGUGCUUUCUGACAAGUGUGCAAUACUGCUUACUGGAAGGCUUAUAACUGAAGAAGACAUUACUAAUGGAAACGUCUGGAUACAUAGAUGAGCACAACAAAAAUCCGAAAAUGAUCCGAUCCGUGACUC